rnacentral:lncRNA from 1 species
UAUACAUAUACAUAUACAUUCAUAGUUUUCGUUAUUGCAUUAUUAUUGCACCUUGUGAUUUGUUAUAUUUUUUUUCCUGAUCCUCUGCUAUGGUGGUAUCCUUUCCCCCACGCAGAUUUGGUGUGUCUGUCCUCCUUCCAUUAUAGAGUGUCAGUCCCUUAAGCAGAAAGAAUUUAACCGUUCUCAUUCCCCACUGAGUUAUUUCCUCAUGGAUGAUUAUUAUUUCAGCUUCCUCCCCAAUUGAUUAUCU